rnacentral:tRNA from 1 species
UAGUUAUUAAUUUAAAUAAAAUAUUAAUUUUGUAAAUUAAAUAUAUAAUAAUUAUUAUAUAACUAA